rnacentral:rRNA from 1 species
GAGUUUGAUCAUGGCUCAGAUUGAACGCUGGCGGCAUGCCUAACACAUGCAAGUCGAACGAGGAUAGCAAUACCUUAGUGGCGGACGGGUGAGGAAUACGUAGGAAUUUGCCCUUAAGUGGGGGAUAGCCCGGGGAAACCCGGAUUAAUACCGCAUGAUCUCGAAAGAGCAAAGUGGGGGAUCGCAAGACCUCACGCUUUUGGAGAAGCCUACGUCGGAUUAGCUAGUUGGUGAGGUAAUGGCUCACCAAGGCUACGAUCCGUAACUGGUCUGAGAGGAUGAUCAGUCACACCGGAACUGAGACACGGUCCGGACUCCUACGGGAGGCAGCAGUGGGGAAUAUUGGACAAUGGGCGCAAGCCUGAUCCAGCAAUGCCGCGUGUGUGAAGAAGGCCUUCGGGUUGUAAAGCACUUUAAGUUGGGAAGAAAAAACUCGCUCUAACACAGUGAGUCUUGACGGUACCGACAGAAUAAGCACCGGCUAACUCUGUGCCAGCAGCCGCGGUAAUACG